rnacentral:lncRNA from 1 species
AGGCGAUCCUCCCACCUCAGCCUCCCAAGUAGCUGGGACCACAGACACACGCCACCAUCCCCAGCUAAUUUUUUAUUUAAUUUAAUUUAUUUAUUUAUUUUUUAUUUAUUUUUUUGAGACGGAGUCUUGCUCUGUCGCCCAGGCUGGAGUGCAGUGGCACAAUCUCGGCUCACUGCAAGCUCCGCCUCCUGGGUUCAUGCCACUCUCCUGCCUCAGCCUCCUGAGUAGCUGGGACUACAGGUGCCCGCCACCAGGCCCGGCUAACUUUUUGUAUUUUUAGUAGAGACGGGGUUUCACCGUGUUAGCCAGGAUGGUCUCGAUCUCCUGACCUCGUGAUACGCCCGCCUUGGCCUCCCAAAGUGCUGGGAUUACAGGCGUGAGCCACCGCGCCCGGCCUUUUUUUUAUUUUUUGUAGAGACGGGGUGGGGGGGUCUCACCAUGUUGCCCAGACUGGUGUCGAACUCCUGGGCUCAAGCAAUCUGCCCGUCUCAGCCUCCCAAAGUGUCGGGAUUAUAGGCCUGAGCCACCGUGCCAGGCCAGCGCUGGUUUUCUGUAGCAGGGGAAAGGUGGCUCUGAGCCUGUGUUGUUAUUUCCGUGGGAAGAAACAGCUGAGGCAGGAUAAACGGGCUUAGGGUUGGCUGUUCGGGUAAUUUCAGCAGGCUCCGGGGCCUGGGGGCUGUCCCUGGUUAUCUGGUACCUGGCCCUUGGUGACGAGGACAGGCAGAUGGUGGCAGAGUGCAAGAGCCCCACGAAGGAGGUGGUGGGGAGCGUGCUCUUGGUUGGUUGGUUUGUAGAUGAAAGAUGUGCUGGCCGGUGUGUCAUUUACCAUCUCUAGGAAUUGGCUGUCUCUGGGAGGGGCAGUGCCUCCAAGGUGGAGGUCCCAGAUGUCAGAGCAUGGGAAGGCAGAUGGUGUUAGCAACACAUGUUCAGAGCCGAUCACCCGCGUGCUUUCCUGAGCGCUAUAAACGGGGGCCAUAAGAAGCAGCAGACAUGGCCGCAUCCUCCCCAAGCUCUGGGUUUCCCCACAGGCUGGGCUGGAGCACGCGAAGAGGAAGACGUCACAGAUGGAGAGGCUGCUGCCCAGGCGGGUCACCAGCGAGGACCAGCAGGAGGUGCUGCGGCUGCUGUGCAGGGCGCACGAGCUGGAGGUGGAGAACACGGAGCUGCAGGCCUACAACCUGUGCCGCAAGAACCGGCUGUGCCAGAAGGACUUUGUGAUCCAGCGCUACCACCAGCACUGGCUGCUGUGCGAGCAGCUGAUCCAGGAGGAGCGGCAGCUGAUCCAGGACAGUGGCCUCCUGGUGCCAGAGCUCCUGGAGAAGCAGUUCCGCCUGUACUCCCGGGAGCUGGACGAGGGCGCGCUGACCUGCCUGAUGCUGCUGCACCCACUCAUGUUCAGCUCCCUCCGG